AUCUGGGUGUUGAAGGCGGCGCCGCUACGGAACUCCCCUUCUCUUCGAGCACAGUGAUGUCUCGGUUGUACUUGGGAGAAGACACUGCCGCGAUUUCAACCACGCUGCGGAGCCGGGUACUUCGACGUCGCUCUGGACCUGCCGUCUUGAACCGCUGAUGAGAGCACGCCACUUAGUGGAUGAUGGAUGGCUGCUUCUUAACUUGCUGCGCAUCCAACAUCACCACGACGACGAGGAGUCAUUCAUUUCCAGUCUACGCUACCGGUGAUUCUAUACUGCCAAAACGUGAAUGCACAACUUGUCCAUCACCAAGUGAUCGCAGAGUGAGUCGAUUCCCUGCAAGACAGCGGCUUCGACCUUGUACAUCAGUUUUGGUUGACGAUGGGAAUGGUUUUUUAUCCGCUCCGAAGGAGUGUUCCUACUCUUGCUCGCUUUCUGAGCCGAUUUUGCAAAUGAGUCGACGUGAUCAGGUGGGUGGAAUGCACCCUCUGGAUUCUCCAGGUCUCGAAACGAUUUUUGGUGAACGAGUCACAAAAGUCGCACUCUUCGGUAACCCAGACACCAGAAACCAAGUCGACUGUUCAGAUCACAACACAUGCUGCGUCGGUAAUUCAACAGUCUUUGUCUGGUGAAUGUGUGUGUGAGCAGAUUUGAAGCUUUGUUGAUUGUGCACCAUAUUUGUUGAUACUGUUACAGUGUUUCUUUCUCUGUGUGUAUGUGGAUUGUCAAUUUAUGGGUUGGAUUGUGCGUAGCAUCCACAAACCGAUCACUUAUUUUAUGAAGGAUUAGUGAAAGUUCUAGUUCAUGUUUCUGCAAUUUUGCUUUUCGUUGUGCUUCGUCAAGUGUGAUGUUCUUAAAAGUGUUGAGAAGAGAGUUGACAUGAAUUCGAUGUUUGGUGAUGGAGUCACUACAAUGUUGAUACUUUGGGAGGAAGAUUCAAUGAAGUUUUGAGGGAAAACCAACUGAAUAAAGCAUGGAUUGCAAGUUUGUGCUCGUGGAGACCUUGCUAAAUUAACAGUCUCUUUUCUCUGUUGUAUAUGUAAAUCUGGUGCAGGGAAAUUGAAAGUGUGUUCUUUAGUUUUGAUGAUACUUGUUUCAAGGGAAUUUUUGUAGUGUUUUUAAUGUAUGUAGCGUUUUCUACUUGUUUUUAUUUAAUUUAUGAUGUGAAUCAAAUUUUUUAGUAGCUUCAAUAAGCAUGUGCAAAUUCAAUGAAGUUGUUAUCUGUUUUGGUAAUUUAAGAAUUAUAAAUUUGUUGCCUUGAGUCUACAUUAAAUUAUUGAUUUAUUAUUUGAUUCAAAAAACCUUGUGAUCUGAAUAUCGUUCAAAGAACUUCUCGUGGUCCACCAAGCAAUGGAGCAUUAAAAGUCACCUCCUUUAUCAUGUAAAUUUGUUAAAAAUCUAUAAAUGGUGACUUAGAAGUUUAAAAUGUCCUAUUGAACUCAAACUUUAGAAUUACAAUCUUGUGCUUUAAUUAUUUUCUAUUUUCUAUUUUCAUUUUUUAAAAGUAAAUUUACUUCUCUAACAUUUAUACUAAAAGACACAUGCAAGUCUUACGAAGGACUCUUCUGAGAUUGUGUGAAAAGCAAAGAAAAGAAAAACUCACACUAAAUGAACAUCUCGCAAGAUAGAGUACAGUUAAUAUGUUCUUCUAGGAUUAUCUCCAAAGUAAUUGAUAUAUGUAUAUGUGUAUAUAUAUAUAUAUAUAUAUAUAUAUAAAUUUUUAAUUAGUGGGAAAAAAUUAAAUUAAAUUAAAUCAUGAUUGCGGUAAUUCAAGAAUCGAUACUGCAGGUUGAUUACUUUAUGCUGCUCGUUUAUUUUCUUCUGUAAAUUUCAUGCAGAUAGGAAAGAUGAAACAUCAAUCACACACUUAAAGAUGUAUAUAUAUUUUUUUCUCUCUAUACAUCUUAAAUCUAAAAUAUUAAUUUCCAGUUAUUCAAACAUGAGUUACAUAAAUAUAUCCGAAAUUUUAUUGUGUAAACUAAUAUGCAGAACAAAUCAAUAAAAAUGAAAGACAAGUGGGUACAAGUGGUAAAAUAUAUGCCUUUCAAAAAAUAAAAACGAUUGCAAAUUUUGUUGCAUUAAGUGUUACAGUUGAAAUUUUUAAUUUUUGAAUAUUAAUACUACAGUUUUUUUUAGAUUUUCAAAUCUAAUUUUAUCCAAGAUAAUAAAAAAGAACUGCUAUCAGGAUCAAAAAAAAAAAAAAUUACUGUAGAAGAAGAUGAAAGCCCUGGUACCCACCCAAGAAGAGGUUAUUUUUGUUAUUUUCAGCCACAAUAAUGUAGAUUUUGAAACUUUAUUUUUGAUGUCAUAGUAUGAAACACAUUGAAUUAUUGCCUAUGUAUGUUUGAUACAGUUGUUUUUCAAUAACCGAUUUUUUUAAUAUUUUGUUUUAUUUUUUACAACACUUUGGUAGUUGUGAUUGAGAGUUUUGAUGUGUCACUUCCCUUCUUAUACAAAAAAUCACAUAAUUAGAUAUAGACAAAUUUGCUAAAAGCAAAACAAAAAAAAGAUUAUAUAGUCAAGUGUGGAAAUUUGCAUCAAAACUCUCCAUCUGAAUAAUAUUCAUAUUUCAAUUCAUGCAUUAGAGACGUGUAGGUCAAAGUAGAUGAACCAAUUUUACAUUGUUUCUAUUCAUUUACAAACAUGUGAUAACAAUAAAGUUUUUAUUCAUCAAAUCCUACAAUCUAAGAUUACCUUUUGCAAGUAUCCUAAAUUUAAAUAAUUGCACCAAAAGCUUGAAAACCAAAUGAAGCCAAAUUCAAGUACCAUAUUAGAGCACUUGUACGAUUGAUGUGUAAAGUGAGAAGGAGAAAGGAAAUAAUGGAGGAGUGAGUGCAACAUUGUGCAUGUGCCCAAUGCACACAGUUAAGGAGAUGAUGAGGCCAACAUUUCGAGUUGGGUGGGACGCAAAUGAAUUGCAAGAUGCCACAUCAGAUGCUGUGUCCCGCAUUCCACGACAUGGCAGCUGGCCAGCCAGUCAGGUUGGUGGCUUUGCAACUAAAGACCACAGCAGACAUGAAAUGGAAGAGGGUGCUCAAGACAUACCAGAGUUGAAUUACAAAAGAAACGCAUUCUUUGAGUCUGUUGGCCCACCAAGAGUUCCAUUGCAAAGAGUGCCAAGCAUGCAAGAAUUAGAAAACAAUUCUUUAAAUAUGAUCCCCCAAAUGAAAGUAGAGUGAAAUGGGCAGGACGGAAACAUUGAUUUGCGACCAUUAAUGUCUGUUCUGAUACCUAUUUCUCAAGUAGCUGAAGAAGACGUACAAUGGAACUCUAAUACUGUGCUUCAAGAGGUGCAAUUUGAAAAGGACAAUUACAAGAAAACUACUUUAUAGUUAUCAAUCAAGAAUUUGGCCAAUAUGCAAAUCAACUCUUCAAUCAAUGCAAAUUUGAAUAUUAGUGUGCAUUUUUUUUAAUCUAUUUAUUUAUUUAUAAUAUAAAUUUGACCAUUACAAAAAUGAGAAUAAAUGUGUCAAAGACAAAACUAUGUACUUCUUAGUCAAAACCGAAAAGGUCAAUAAAAAUCAAAAUAAUGCACAGUA